rnacentral:rRNA from 1 species
GAAGAAGGCGGGGGGCGUGCUUAACUCAUGCAAGUCGAACGGAAAGGCCCUGCUUUUGUGGGGUGCUCGAGUGGCGAACGGGUGAGUAACACGUGAGUAACCUGCCCUUGACUUUGGGAUAACUUCAGGAAACUGGGGCUAAUACCGGAUAGGAGCUCCUGCUGCAUGGUGGGGGUUGGAAAGUUUCGGCGGUUGGGGAUGGACUCGCGGCUUAUCAGCUUGUUGGUGGGGUAGUGGCUUACCAAGGCUUUGACGGGUAGCCGGCCUGAGAGGGUGACCGGCCACAUUGGGACUGAGAUACGGCCCAGACUCCUACGGGAGGCAGCAGUGGGGAAUAUUGCACAAUGGGCGGAAGCCUGAUGCAGCAACGCCGCGUGCGGGAUGACGGCCUUCGGGUUGUAAACCGCUUUCGCCUGUGACGAAGCGUGAGUGACGGUAAUGGGUAAAGAAGCACCGGCUAACUACGUG